rnacentral:RNase_P_RNA from 1 species
AGUAAGACAGAUGGUCGCUGCCAUGAAACCGAAAGGUCAUGGGAGAGGAAAGUCCGGGCUUCACAGGGCAGGAUGCCAGAUAACGUCUGGUGGAGGCGACUCUAAGGACAGUGCAACAGAAAUAAACCGCCGCAGCAAUGCGGUAAGGGUGGAAAGGCAGUGUAAGAGACUACCGCCCGACUGGUAACAGGCGGGGCAUAUGUAAACCCCAUCCGAAGCAAGACCGAACAGAAAGCAUAAGGCGGCCCGUCUGCUUUCGGGUAGGUCGCUGGAGCAUAUUGGCGACAGUAUGCCUAGAUAGAUGACCAUCCAAUGACAUAACCCGGCUUAUCGUUUUACUCA